AUUGGAGGAGGCGUACAUCAGAUAUGGAUGCUUUUGUUAUCAGAGACUAUGGCAGCAGCAUGAAAAUCUGGAAUUGGUCUUAACAUAUCUCUUUACAGCAAUGCAACAGAACCAGAGACAUAUAAAUAUCUCUGACAGAACUGAAGAAAACUAUAAAAGUGUUCCUCUGACUGCUGAUGUUCAAGAGAGAGGAGAAAACAGAGAAUUUCAACAGGUGUUUGUUAUCCAACAUUGUUUUGUAUCCAGAGUUCUGUGAGUAUGGAGAAUGAUUCCUGUUACCAUGUGGUGUUGGCUAUUGUCUCUUUCAAUGGAGCAACAUAGACAAUAUUUAUACAUCCUGAUCUCAAUGGUACAGUCAAACCUAGUUAUCUCGUACUCGACGGGGCCAAGAAAAAACUUCGAGAUAUCCAAUGAUUCAAGAUAUCCAGGAUCUGGAAUUGCAUGUAGCCUGACAGAAAAAGUUGAUGGCUGUUUCCAUUUACAGAAGACAUGACACAAAGACUAAGGUCUGAUGUCUACAUUUAGUUAUUCUUGGGUUACUUUAGUGGACCCUUUCUUGUAGUUAGUAUUGAACAAUAAUGUUGUUUAAAGUCUUUGAAAUACAGAAAUUUGACUGAGCUAUACAAAUUGUAUAUCAUAAAACCAUUAUAUACAUAAUGUCUCUUUUUAAAUUUUUGUUUCGACUGUUUCACUACCCUAGUUCUUUAAUUAUGAAUCAAUAAUCUUCUAAUAUAGAGAAAAAAAAAACUUCA